rnacentral:rRNA from 1 species
UACGUAGGGGGCAAGCGUUGUCCGGAGUUACUGGGCGUAAAGCGCACGCAGGCGGUCGAUUAAGUUUGGAGUGACAGUUGGUGGCUUAACUGCCAAAGUGCUUCGAAAACUGAUCGACUUGAGGGCUUCAGAGGGACACGGAAUUCCGGGUGGAGUGGUGAAAUGCGUAGAGAUCCGGAGGAACACCGAAGGCGAAGGCAGUGUCCCGGGGAGUACCUGACGCUCAGGUGCGAAAGCCAGGGGAGCGAACGGG